AGCUGCUACGCUGCAGCUGCCCAACGUGAUGAAGGAUGUCCCCUCCCUGGAGGAGCAGAUGCGGAUGCUGGAUGUGAGCACGGACCAGGAGCUGACGUUUGAAGAGUUCUGGAGGCUGAUGGGCGAGUUGGUCGGGCCCUGUGGAGGGAGAGGGAGGAGAGGAAGAAGUGAUGGGGAUGGGGGGACGCUCAUGAAGCAAAAUAAAGAAGUUUUCAUGGGCCUGGACAUCUCUGCUAUUCUUUGUGGAGCCUCCUGACGCAAGCAGCCCUGCCACAGAAUCACAGAACCAACUAAGAUCCUGCCGUCUCCAAACUGCCUUUGUGCUGAUUUGGAUUGCAGGGUCCCACCUGCACCCCACGUACACAACAGCGGGGGUCCCACAGAGCAGCAGGGUGCACCCACGGCACUGCAGGCCUCAGCAGUGAUGCUGUGGGCAUGCAGCCACCUCCAAGCCACCUAGGUGGGGUUACCUGGGGAUGCGACCCAGUGCAUGGUGCAUGGUACCUGGUGCAUGGUGCAUGGUACCCAA